GUAAGCUAAUUUGGAGAUUUUGCAAGCUGACAUGCAACCUGAUUAAAAUGACCCCAGGCCAACAAUUCUUCUUAGGCAGCUCCGCAAUUAAAGUCUAGACCUAUCUGUAGCCCAGGUUUGGCUUUUGGGGUUUUUUUUUUUUUUUUUUUUUAAUUUUUUUUUUUUUUUUUUCUUUUUUCUUUUUUCUUUUUUUUUUUUUUCUUGGGGAUUCUCCUUUCUCCUGCCAGACUGACUUGCACCUUCUUGAUAAUUUCUCUUCCCCUCGUUUUUUUUUUAUACUCUUCUCCCUGCUUCCAAACCCUGUGUCUGUGUGUUCCAAUACUAUCACAACCUCCGCUAAAAAUAGAUCUUUUUAUAUACCCUUCCUCCUCUCUGACCCCAUCCAACACCCCUUGUUAAGGUGAGUUGUGUCUUUUCAUCACUUUUUUCCUUGUGUGUUGUUUUUUUGGCUUUGUUUUUGUUGUUGUUGUUUGUUUUUUUUUUUUCUUUCCCUCCCUUUAGGGCAGGUUUUAGGGAGGAGGGGGUGUGGAGGAGAGAAUUUCGGGGGGAGUCAGGCAUGUUUGCAAAGCCUUAUUUUCCCUUCUGCAGCCUCAGCAUCAUUCCGGACUGCUCCCUUUUAUCCCAAGGAUGUAGCUAGCUGAUGAAAGUGGGGAACUACUCUUCCUUAGCACUGCAUGCUUGGGAGGCACAGCAACAGCAGGGAAAAAAAAAGCUUCUCUUUUUUCCUUCGCCCCCCCCUUUCCCCCCCGCGCCCCUGUUCCCUCCUUCCCUCCUCCUUUCUGUGUUUUGUUGGUUUGGGGGAUUUUUUUUGUGGGGUGGUUUUGUUUGGUAGGGGUGGGGUUUUUUGUUUGUUUGUUUGUUUUUUUCUCUCUUAUCUUAUGAACUGAAUGAAAGAAAAGGUUCAGUCUCGUUAUUUAAAACUAAUGACUUCGCUUUUGAAAGUUCAAACGACAUUGGCAUCGCAAGGUUAGACAUUUAGGAAACACCAAAGCUUUUUUUUUUUUUUUUCCUUUGAUGUGUGUGUGUGCUUGGUUUCUGUUUUUAAGCAGUACACAGGGGACUUGGAAAGAAUUGCAUGGGAUGGCGGGGGGGGGGGGGGGGGGGGGAGGAGUGUGUGUGCGUGUGUGCGCGCAGAUGUAUGUGUGAAGUGCAU
rnacentral:lncRNA from 1 species